rnacentral:tRNA from 1 species
GAGGUUGUGGCUCAAUGGUAGAGUGCUUGCUUAGCAUGUAUGAGGCACUGGGUUCAAUUCUCAGCACCUCA